CGCAAGCCUGAUGCAGCCAUGCCGCGUGUGUGAAGAAGGCCUUCGGGUUGUAAAGCACUUUCAGUUGUGAGGAAGGUGGUGUCGUUAAUAGCGGCAUCAUUUGACGUUAGCAACAGAAGAAGCACCGGCUAACUCCGUGCCAGCAGCCGCGGUAAUACGGAGGGUGCGAGCGUUAAUCGGAAUUACUGGGCGUAAAGCGCAUGCAGGUGGUUUGUUAAGUCAGAUGUGAAAGCCCGGGGCUCAACCUCGGAACUGCAUUUGAAACUGGCAGACUAGAGUACUGUAGAGGGGGUAGAAUUUCAGGUGUAGCGGUGAAAUGCGUAGAGAUCUGAAGGAAUACCGGUGGCGAAGGCGGCCCCCUGGACAGAUACUGACACUCAGAUGCGAAAGCGUGGGGAGCAAACAGGAUUAGAUACCCUGGUAG
rnacentral:rRNA from 1 species